rnacentral:rRNA from 1 species
UACGGAGGGUGCAAGCGUUGUCCGGAUUUAUUGGGCGUAAAGAGCUCGUAGGCGGCUUGUCGCGUCGUUCGUGAAAACUUGGGGCUCAACUCCAAGCUUGCGGUCGAUACGGGCAGGCUAGAGUUCGGUAGGGGAGACUGGAAUUCCUGGUGUAGCGGUGAAAUGCGCAGAUAUCAGGAGGAACACCGGUGGCGAAGGCGGGUCUCUGGGCCGAUACUGACGCUGAGGAGCGAAAGCGUGGGGAGCGAACAGG